ensembl:lncRNA
AUGAUUUUGUUUUACCUUAACAUUUUGGCACUUCUAACAGAGAGUGUUUUUGCAAAUGCAAUAACAGCCCUCUCUACUAAAAAUCAUGCUUUCAAAGGAGGAAAGGUGACUCUUUCAUGCAACUACAGUGGAAGUAACAUAAAGAGUUGGCAGUGGUACGGACAGUAUCACAAUACUGCACCUGAAUUUCUCUUGCAAGCUUUGGAAAGUUUGGGUCCAGAGAAGAAGGACAAUUAUGUUGCUGAAGCUAAAAAGAAUAAAAAACAUCUGACCCUGGAGAUCUCCAAAACUGAAGUUGAAGAUGCUGCAAUAUACUACUGUGCCCUGGUGCCCACAGUAACAGGAAACCCUUCAACACUGUACAAAAACCUGAGGGAUAGAAGAAAGAAAGAAAGAAAGAAAGAAAGAAAAAAAGAAAGAAAGAAAGAAAGAAAGAAAGAAAGAAAGAAAGAAAGAAAGAAAGAAACCAUCAAUGCAAAUAAAGAACCUUUCAUGUGUCCAACUAAAUGUGCUGUAUUAUGAAUAAUUACAUUGUUCUCUCACAGAUGAUUGAUUCAAAUGAAUUGCUGCAGACACAUGGUGGCAUUAUUACCAUUUUAUAUCUCAUAACACACUGUAGCUUUGUCAGCAGUUUCAUGUGUAUAGCACAGAUAUAAACUGAUAUAAAAUCAGCAGUAUCUAAAAUCAAAUAUACCUUAUACAUCAGUCAGACUGUAAGUCCCUUAAAAGCUACUGUAAUUAGUAAUACAAACUAAUUAGUAAUAUGUAAAGUAAUAGCAUGAAAUAUACAGAAGAUGGCAGUGUUCACUAAGAUUACAGAAGAUUUGAAUCUUCGGCUGGUAUGAAAAAAGGAAAGGAAGUGUGCACAAAAUCAGUCAGAGUCUGUGAGUUAUAGAGUUUGAGCUGCUUGUGAUGAUCCAUGAUGUUUCUAUGCAGUGUCUGGUUCAUUCUUCUCUUUUCAGGUAAGUUAUGUAACAUUUAUUUGGAAUCCUUUGUGUAAACCUUCCAAAUAUAAGUCAUCAGACAUUAAUAAUGUGUGAUGAAUGAAAAUUAAACUGCAAUGCUCUGCUUUUUUCAGGUGAUGCGGGUGGAGAAGGAAUAGCUCCCCUCUCCUCAUCUAAACUUGCUAACAAUGGUGACUCCAUUACUUUGACCUGCAAUUACAAUGGGUCUUACAGCAGUGAUUCUCUCCUGUGGUAUCGGCAAUACAGCAGCUCCAAACCUCAGUUUUUGUUUCUGGUCAGUGAAUCCAAACUUGAGCAGCCAGCUGACCCUCCAAUACCUGGAGUGUCUGCUAAAGUAAAUGAUGAGAAAAACAGUGUGGAUCUGAAGAUCUCCUCUGCUUCAGUAUCAGACUCUGCAAUGUACUACUGUGCCCUGCAGCCCACAGUGACAGGAAACACAUCAACACUGUACAAAAUUAAGGGGAAAACAACUAACUACACUGAUGAACUACACUAAACAACAAAUGAAACCUUUAUACUGUAUGACAGUGUCUUUAUUGUAUGAUGCUCUAAAAAUA